rnacentral:rRNA from 1 species
GGGUUGUGAGGUUAAGCGACUAAGCGUACACGGUGGAUGCCCUGGCAGUCAGAGGCGAUGAAGGGCGUACUAAUCUGCGAUAAGCGCCGGUAAGGUGAUAUGAACCGUUAUAACCGGCGAUACCCGAAUGGGGAAACCCAGUGUGAUUCGUCACACUAUCAUUAACUGAAUCCAUAGGUUAAUGAGGCGAACCGGGGGAACUGAAACAUCUAAGUACCCCGAGGAAAAGAAAUCAACCGAGAUUCCCCCAGUAGCGGCGAGCGAACGGGGAGGAGCCCAGAGCCUGAAUCAGCAUGUGUGUUAGUGGAAGCGUCUGGAAAGGCGCGCGAUACAGGGUGACAGCCCCGUACACAAAAGCGCAUGUGCUGUGAGCUCGAUGAGUAGGGCGGGACACGUGGUAUCCUGUCUGAAUAUGGGGGGACCAUCCUCCAAGGCUAAAUACUCCUGACUGACCGAUAGUGAACCAGUACCGUGAGGGAAAGGCGAAAAGAACCCCGGCGAGGGGAGUGAAAAAGAACCUGAAACCGUGUACGUACAAGCAGUGGGAGCACAGGUNNNNNNNNNNGACUGCGUACCUUUUGUAUAAUGGGUCAGCGACUUAUAUUCUGUAGCAAGGUUAACCGAAUAGGGGAGCCGGAGGGAAACCGAGUCUUAAUUGGGCGUUAAGUUGCAGGGUAUAGACCCGAAACCCGGUGAUCUAGCCAUGGGCAGGUUGAAGGUUGGGUAACACUAACUGGAGGACCGAACCGACUAAUGUUGAAAAAUUAGCGGAUGACCUGUGGCUGGGGGUGAAAGGCCAAUCAAACCGGGAGAUAGCUGGUUCUCCCCGAAAGCUAUUUAGGUAGCGCCUCGUGAAUUCAUCUCCGGGGGUAGAGCACUGUUUCGGCUAGGGGGCCAUCCCGGCUUACCAACCCGAUGCAAACUGCGAAUACCGGAGAAUGUUAUCACGGGAGACACACGGCGGGUGCUAACGUCCGUCGUGAAGAGGGAAACAACCCAGACCGCCAGCUAAGGUCCCAAAGUCAUGGUUAAGUGGGAAACGAUGUGGGAAGGCCCAGACAGCCAGGAUGUUGGCUUAGAAGCAGCCAUCAUUUAAAGAAAGCGUAAUAGCUCACUGGUCGAGUCGGCCUGCGCGGAAGAUGUAACGGGGCUAAACCAUGCACCGAAGCUGCGGCAGCGACACUGUGUGUUGUUGGGUAGGGGAGCGUUCUGUAAGCCUGCGAAGGUGGCCUGUGAGGGUUGCUGGAGGUAUCAGAAGUGCGAAUGCUGACAUAAGUAACGAUAAAGCGGGUGAAAAGCCCGCUCGCCGGAAGACCAAGGGUUCCUGUCCAACGUUAAUCGGGGCAGGGUGAGUCGACCCCUAAGGCGAGGCCGAAAGGCGUAGUCGAUGGGAAACGGGUUAAUAUUCCCGUACUUGGUGUUACUGCGAAGGGGGGACGGAGAAGGCUAUGUUGGCCGGGCGACGGUUGUCCCGGUUUAAGCGUGUAGGUGUGUGUUCCAGGUAAAUCCGGUUCACUUUAACACUGAGGCGUGACGACGAGGCACUACGGUGCUGAAGCAACAAAUGCCCUGCUUCCAGGAAAAGCCUCUAAGCAUCAGGUAACAUCAAAUCGUACCCCAAACCGACACAGGUGGUCAGGUAGAGAAUACCAAGGCGCUUGAGAGAACUCGGGUGAAGGAACUAGGCAAAAUGGUGCCGUAACUUCGGGAGAAGGCACGCUGACACGUAGGUGAAGUGAUUUACUCAUGGAGCUGAAGUCAGUCGAAGAUACCAGCUGGCUGCAACUGUUUAUUAAAAACACAGCACUGUGCAAACACGAAAGUGGACGUAUACGGUGUGACGCCUGCCCGGUGCCGGAAGGUUAAUUGAUGGGGUCAGCGCAAGCGAAGCUCCUGAUCGAAGCCCCGGUAAACGGCGGCCGUAACUAUAACGGUCCUAAGGUAGCGAAAUUCCUUGUCGGGUAAGUUCCGACCUGCACGAAUGGCGUAAUGAUGGCCAGGCUGUCUCCACCCGAGACUCAGUGAAAUUGAACUCGCUGUGAAGAUGCAGUGUACCCGCGGCAAGACGGAAAGACCCCGUGAACCUUUACUAUAGCUUGACACUGAACAUUGAGCCUUGAUGUGUAGGAUAGGUGGGAGGCUUUGAAGUGUGGACGCCAGUCUGCAUGGAGCCGACCUUGAAAUACCACCCUUUAAUGUUUGAUGUUCUAACGUGGACCCGUUACCCGGGUUGCGGACAGUGUCUGGUGGGUAGUUUGACUGGGGCGGUCUCCUCCUAAAGAGUAACGGAGGAGCACGAAGGUUGGCUAAUCCUGGUCGGACAUCAGGAGGUUAGUGCAAUGGCAUAAGCCAGCUUGACUGCGAGCGUGACGGCGCGAGCAGGUGCGAAAGCAGGUCAUAGUGAUCCGGUGGUUCUGAAUGGAAGGGCCAUCGCUCAACGGAUAAAAGGUACUCCGGGGAUAACAGGCUGAUACCGCCCAAGAGUUCAUAUCGACGGCGGUGUUUGGCACCUCGAUGUCGGCUCAUCACAUCCUGGGGCUGAAGUAGGUCCCAAGGGUAUGGCUGUUCGCCAUUUAAAGUGGUACGCGAGCUGGGUUUAGAACGUCGUGAGACAGUUCGGUCCCUAUCUGCCGUGGGCGCUGGAGAACUGAGGGGGGCUGCUCCUAGUACGAGAGGACCGGAGUGGACGCAUCACUGGUGUUCGGGUUGUCAUGCCAAUGGCACUGCCCGGUAGCUAAAUGCGGAAGAGAUAAGUGCUGAAAGCAUCUAAGCACGAAACUUGCCCCGAGAUGAGUUCUCCCUGAGACUUAAAGUCUCCUGAAGGAACGUUGAAGACGACGACGUUGAUAGGCCGGGUGUGUAAGCGCAGCGAUGCGUUGAGCUAACCGGUACUAAUGAACCGUGAGGCUUAACCUUACAACGCCGAAG